AACGUAGGUUCCGAGCGUUAUCCGGAUUUACUGGGCGUAAAGCGCGUUCAGGCGGUUUGGCAAGUCGGGCAUGAAAUCUCUCGGCUCAACCGGGAGAGGUUGUCCGAUACUUCCAGACUUGAGGGCAGUAGAGGGUGGUGGAAUUCCGGGUGUAGUGGUGAAAUGCGUAGAUAUCCGGAGGAACACCAGUGGCGAAAGCGGUUCUCUGGGAAUGUCCUGACGCUGAGGAGCGAAAGUGUGGGGAGCGAACAGG
rnacentral:rRNA from 1 species